rnacentral:rRNA from 1 species
UACGUAGGGUGCAGGCGUUAAUCGGAAUUACUGGGCGUAAAGCGUGCGCAGGCGGUUUCUUAAGUCAGAUGUGAAAGCCCCGGGCUUAACCUGGGAACUGCGUUUGAAACUGGGAGACUUGAGUGUGGCAGAGGGGGGUGGAAUUCCACGUGUAGCAGUGAAAUGCGUAGAUAUGUGGAGGAAUACCGAUGGCGAAGGCAGGUCUCUGGGCUGACACUGACGCUCAUGCACGAAAGCGUGGGGAGCAAACAGG